rnacentral:rRNA from 1 species
UACGUAGGGAGCAAGCGUUGUCCGGAAUCAUUGGGCGUAAAGCGCGCGUAGGUGGCUUCGUAAGUCCGUUGUGAAAGCAAAGGCUCAACCUUUGAAAGCCGAUGGAUACUGCGGAGCUAGAGUACGGAAGAGGCGAGUGGAAUUCCUGGUGUAGCGGUGGAAUGCGCAGAUAUCAGGAGGAACACCAAUAGCGAAGGCAGCUCGCUGGGACGUUACUGACACUGAGGCGCGAAGGCGUGGGGAGCGAACAGG